GGAAAACACUUCACUCAAAAUCAAAAGCUAGGGUUCCAUCGAAAAGUUGUCAGAUUCGAUUUCUCCGGUGAUUAAAUAGCAUCGAUUUCGCCUGUGAGAAGGGCUUUGAUUUCCCUGGAAAGCGUUGGAAACUUUUCUGUUGAGAAGGCUCAAUUUGGCCGGGUCUUGUUAUCUCCGCUACCAAACUCUUUGGUGAUGAGAACCACCCAUCUCUAUCGACUUUUCUGCAGCAAGUCAAAACUAUGGAGGUGGAUAACAGUGGUGGUGGAUCGGUGGUGGUGGAAGACUGGAAUGAGCGGUGGUAGAGGAGAGAGUGGUGGCAGAGGAAGAGAUGGUGGUGCCGUCGUUAAGGAGCGGUGGCAGAGGAAGAGACGGUUGUGGCCGUGGAUUCAGACUUAGUUUCACUACCUAAGGAUCAAUGAGCAGGUGCAGUUUGAAUUAUAUUACAUGUAUGUUUACACGAUGGAUGAUAGUGUUUGGACGAGAAUGAAGACGACGGUGGAUUGGCCAGUGUUCUGAAAGUAGUCAAGGAAGCUCGCUGUGGAUUUUUAAAAGGUCUAUAUGUGUGAGAAGAGGACAACUGGAACCAUAUGCUUCAAGACGAUGGAAGAUAUAUGAUGCAACACGAAUACAAGAGCUUAUGAAGAAAAUAAAACUAUUCAAACUCCAACCGCUUGAGAAGAUUGAAGAGGCUUCUAUAUUUUGUUUAAUGUUGUGUGUAUGUCUUUUUGCAUCAAUAAUCCAGUUCAGUGUUAACUAUGUUUAUGGAGUUUAAUAUCCGAGAGUGUUAAGCUCUUAACUGAAAAAAUGUAUAGAGAUAGUUCCUUCGUCUCUACCUUCUCUUGAA